CCCUCUGUGUAAAAUGCGUUCUUAUUCAAGUUUUCAACUCAGUCAUUCGUUUAAGAUGCAAUUUUGUGUUAUAAGUAUUAGGCUAUCAUGAUUAUACAGUGAGCAAGCUAUAUAAAUAAGUAUUUAAUAUAAUAAGUGUAGAGCAACAACCGAGGGUGUAAGGUAAAGGCUGAAUAUUGUAGAUUUAUUACAAUAUGUUGCAUGUUUGAAUUAAAAUACCUGUGGAUAUGCAGGAGCACACACUCUACAAAGGCCUGACUGGAGAUUUGCCUGAUCUAUCCGUCCUUCAGAUGACAGCGGCUCGCUUCAAGAGCAGGUGAAGCAAGUUGGGACAAUGUUGAAGACAUUUGCUCGCACUGGGCAAUCGGGUGCAGAUCAAACCCUAAUGCUGCG